GAAAUGCGAUAAGUAAUGUGAAUUGCAGAAUUCAGUAAAUCAUCGAAUCUUUGAACGCACCUUGCGCUCCUUGGUAUUCCUUGGAGCAUGCCUGUUUGAGUAUCAUGAAAUCUUCAAAGUAAAUCUUUUGUUAACUCAAUUGGUUUCUACUUUGGUAUUGGAGGUCUUUGCAGCUUCACACCUGCUCCUCUUUGUUCAUUAGCUGGAUCUCAGUGUUAUGCUUGGUUCCACUCGGCGUGAUAAGUUAUCUAUCGCUGAGGACACUGUAAAAGGUGGCCAAGGUAAAUGCAAAUGAACCGCUUCUAAUAGUCCAUUGACUUGGACAAUACUUUUAUGAUCUGAUCUCAAAUCAGGUAGGACUACCCGCUGAACUUAAGC
rnacentral:misc_RNA from 1 species